GAUGAACGCUAGCGGCAGGCUUAAUACAUGCAAGUCGAGGGGCAGCACGGGUAGCAAUACUUGGUGGCGACCGGCGCACGGGUGCGUAACACGUAUACAACCUACCUAUAACAGGGGGAUAGCCUUUCGAAAGAGAGAUUAAUACCCCGUAAUAAGUUGAAUGGCAUCAUUUGACUUUGAAAGUUCCGACGGUUAUAGAUGGGUAUGCGUCCUAUUAGCUAGUUGGUGGUGUAAUGGACCACCAAGGCGACGAUAGGUAGGGGAUCUGAGAGGACUAACCCCCACACUGGUACUGAGACACGGACCAGACUCCUACGGGAGGCAGCAGUAAGGAAUAUUGGUCAAUGGACGCAAGUCUGAACCAGCCAUGCCGCGUGAAGGAUGAAGGUCCUCUGGAUUGUAAACUUCUUUUAUCUGGGGCGAAACACCGAUUUUCUAAUCGGCUUGACGGUACCAGAUGAAUAAGCACCGGCUAACUCCGUGCCAGCAGCCGCAGUAAAAC
rnacentral:rRNA from 1 species